CUAAGGAAUUUCGGCAAGGGCGCAAGCCUGACCGAGCAACGCCGCGUGCGGGAUGACGGCCUUCGGGUUGUAAACCGCUUUUCGGGGGGACGACUACGACGGUACCCCCCGGAUA
rnacentral:rRNA from 1 species